UGCCAGACUCCUACGGGAGGCAGCAGUGGGGAAUAUUGCGCAAUGGGCGAAAGCCUGACGCAGCGACGCCGCGUGAGGGAUGAAGGUCUUCGGAUCGUAAACCUCUGUCAGCAGGGAAGAACGGUCACUGUGCUAAUCAGCAGUGAAUUGACGGUACCUGAAAAGGAAGCACCGGCUAACUCCGUGCCAGCAGCCGCGGUAAUACGUAGGUGGCAAGCGUUAUCCGGAUUUACUGGGUGUAAAGGGCGUGUAGGCGGGACUGCAAGUCAGAUGUGAAACCCAUGGGCUCAACCCAUGGCCUGCAUUUGAAACUGUAGUUCUUGAGUGAUGGAGAGGCAGGCGGAAUUCCGUGUGUAGCGGUGAAAUGCGUAGAUAUACGGAGGAACACCAGUGGCGAAGGCGGCCUGCUGGACAUUAACUGACGUUGAGGCGCGAAAGCGUGGGGAGCAAACAGGAUUAGAUACCCGCGUAA
rnacentral:rRNA from 1 species